CCCGCACGCCGGAAGACCAAGGGUUCCUGUCCAACGUUAAUCGGGGCAGGGUGAGUCGACCCCUAAGGCGAGGCUGAAAAGCGUAGUCGAUGGGAAACAGGUUAAUAUUCCUGUACUUGGUGUUACUGCGAAGGGGGGACGGAGAAGGCUAGGCUGGCCGGGCGACGGUUGUCCCGGUUUAAGCGUGUAGGGGGAGUGACCAGGUAAAUCCGGUUGCUUAUCAACCCUGAGGCGUGAUGACGAUGCACCACGGUGCAGAAGCAGUUGAUGCCAUGCUUCCAGGAAAAGCCUCUAAGCAUCAGGUAACAUUAAAUCGUACCCCAAACCGACACAGGUGGUCAGGUAGAGAAUACUCAGGCGCUUGAGAGAACUCGGGUGAAGGAACUAGGCAAAAUGGUGCCGUAACUUCGGGAGAAGGCACGCUGGCGUUAGGUGAAAGGACUAGCUCCUGGAGCUGAAGCCAGUCGCAGAUACCAGCUGGCUGCAACUGUUUAAUAAAAACACAGCACUGUGCAAACACGAAAGUGGACGUAUACGGUGUGACGCCUGCCCGGUGCUGGAAGGUUAAUUGAUGGGGUCAGCCGCAAGGCGAAGCUCUUGAUCGAAGCCCCAGUAAACGGCGGCCGUAACUAUAACGGUCCUAAGGUAGCGAAAUUCCUUGUCGGGUAAGUUCCGACCUGCACGAAUGGCGUAAUGAUGGCCAGGCUGUCUCCACCCGAGACUCAGUGAAAUUGAACUCGCUGUGAAGAUGCAGUGUACCCGCGGCAAGACGGAAAGACCCCGUGAACCUUUACUAUAGCUUGACACUGAACAUUGAGCCUUGAUGUGUAGGAUAGGUGGGAGGCCUUGAAGUGUGGACGCCAGUCUGCAUGGAGCCAACCUUGAAAUACCACCCUUUAAUGUUUGAUGUUCUAACUCGGCCCCAUGAUCUGGGGUGAGGACAGUGUCUGGUGGGUAGUUUGACUGGGGCGGUCUCCUCCCAAAGAGUAACGGAGGAGCACGAAGGUUAGCUAAUCACGGUCGGACAUCGUGAGGUUAGUGCAAAGGCAUAAGCUAGCUUGACUGCGAGAGUGACGGCUCGAGCAGGUACGAAAGUAGGUCUUAGUGAUCCGGUGGUUCUGAAUGGAAGGGCCAUCGCUCAACGGAUAAAAGGUACUCCGGGGAUAACAGGCUGAUACCGCCCAAGAGUUCAUAUCGACGGCGGUGUUUGGCACCUCGAUGUCGGCUCAUCACAUCCUGGGGCUGAAGUAGGUCCCAAGGGUAUGGCUGUUCGCCAUUUAAAGUGGUACGCGAGCUGGGUUUAGAACGUCGUGAGACAGUUCGGUCCCUAUCUGCCGUGGGCGUUGGAAGAUUGAGAGGGGCUGCUCCUAGUACGAGAGGACCGGAGUGGACGAAUCACUGGUGUUCGGGUUGUCAUGCCAAUGGCAUUGCCCGGUAGCUAAAUUCGGAAGAGAUAACCGCUGAAAGCAUCUAAGCGGGAAACUUGCCUCGAGAUGAGUCUUCCCUGGGGCUUAAAGCCCCCUGAAGGAACGUUAAAGACUAUGACGUUGAUAGGCUGGGUGUGUAAGUGCAGCGAUGUAUUGAGCUAACCAGUACUAAUGAUCCGUGAGGCUUAACCUU
rnacentral:rRNA from 1 species